AAAAGCUUAAGUUAAUUAAAACUGUAAACCUUCAAAGUUUAACAUAUGAUCCAUUUCAUAGCUUUUG
rnacentral:tRNA from 1 species